rnacentral:tRNA from 1 species
GUCAGGAUGGCUAGUUUCAGGUACUAGUCCGCAUGGGCAUGGGUUCGAAUCCCAUUUCUGACA